rnacentral:rRNA from 1 species
GACGAACGCUGGCGGCGUGCCUAACACAUGCAAGUCGAACGGAAAGGCGCGGCUUUUGUGGGGUUCGCGAGUGGCGAACGGGUGAGUAACACAUGAGUAAACUUCCCUUGACUGUGGGAUAACCUCAGGAAACUGGGGCUAUUACCCGAUAGGAGCUCCUGCGGCAGGGGGGGGGUUGGAGAGUUUCGGCUGUUGGGGAUGGACUCGCGGGUUAUGGGCUUGUGGGUGGGGUAGGGGCUUAUCAGGGCUGUGACGGAUAGGCGGCCUGAGAGGGUGACCGGCGCCAUUGGGACUGCGGUAGGCCCCAGACUCGUACGGGAGGCAGUGGUGGAAAAUAUUGCACAGUAGGCCGAAGCGUGUUGCGGCGGCGCCGCGUGCGUGAUGACGGCUUUCGGGUUGUGAACCGCUUUGGCCUGUGACGGUGCGUGAGUGACGGUACUGGGUAAAGAAGCACCGGCUAACUACGUG